rnacentral:rRNA from 1 species
CUGUCCUACGGGACGCAGCAGUGAGGAAUAUUGGUCAAUGGGCGGUAGCCUGAACCAGCCAAGUAGCGUGAAGGAUGAAGGUCCUAUGGAUUGUAAACUUCUUUUAUAAAGGAAUAAAGUGAGGCACGUGUGCCUUUUUGUAUGUACUUUAUGAAUAAGGAUCGGCUAACUCCGUGCCAGCAGCCGCGGUAAUACGGAGGAUCCGAGCGUUAUCCGGAUUUAUUGGGUUUAUAGGGAGCGUAGAUGGGUUGUUAAGUCAGUUGUGAAAGUUUGCGGCUCAACUGUAAAAUUGCGAUUGAUACUGG